AUGGAAUGAUGCGGCAGCGCGCGAGAGCGACGGGGAAAUGGUCGCACCCGACGCACCAUCCAUGAAGAAACGUUUCGUGAGACCCC
rfam:Tick-borne encephalitis virus gene, complete cds, strain:Oshima 5-10